GGGUUGUGAGGUUAAGCGACUAAGCGUACACGGUGGAUGCCCUGGCAGUCAGAGGCGAUGAAGGACGUGCUAAUCUGCGAUAAGCGCCGGUAAGGUGAUAUGAACCGUUAUAACCGGCGAUUUCCGAAUGGGGAAACCCAGUGUGAUUCGUCACACUAUCAUUAACUGAAUCCAUAGGUUAAUGAGGCGAACCGGGGGAACUGAAACAUCUAAGUACCCCGAGGAAAAGAAAUCAACCGAGAUUCCCCCAGUAGCGGCGAGCGAACGGGGAGGAGCCCAGAGCCUGAAUCAGCAUGUGUGUUAGUGGAAGCGUCUGGAAAGGCGCGCGAUACAGGGUGACAGCCCCGUACACAAAAGCGCACAUGCUGUGAGCUCGAUGAGUAGGGCGGGACACGUGGUAUCCUGUCUGAAUAUGGGGGACCAUCCUCCAAGGCUAAAUACUCCUGACUGACCGAUAGUGAACCAGUACCGUGAGGGAAAGGCGAAAAGAACCCCGGCGAGGGGAGUGAAAAAGAACCUGAAACCGUGUACGUACAAGCAGUGGGAGCACCCUUUGGGGUGUGACUGCGUACCUUUUGUAUAAUGGGUCAGCGACUUAUAUUCUGUAGCAAGGUUAACCGCAUAGGGGAGCCGUAGGGAAACCGAGUCUUAACCGGGCGUUAAGUUGCAGGGUAUAGACCCGAAACCCGGUGAUCUAGCCAUGGGCAGGUUGAAGGUUGGGUAACACUAACUGGAGGACCGAACCGACUAAUGUUGAAAAAUUAGCGGAUGACCUGUGGCUGGGGGUGAAAGGCCAAUCAAACCGGGAGAUAGCUGGUUCUCCCCGAAAGCUAUUUAGGUAGCGCCUCGUGAACUCAUCUCCGGGGGUAGAGCACUGUUUCGGCUAGGGGGCCAUCCCGGCUUACCAACCCGAUGCAAACUGCGAAUACCGGAGAAUGUUAUCACGGGAGACACACGGCGGGUGCUAACGUCCGUCGUGAAGAGGGAAACAACCCAGACCGCCAGCUAAGGUCCCAAAGUCAUGGUUAAGUGGGAAACGAUGUGGGAAGGCCCAGACAGCCAGGAUGUUGGCUUAGAAGCAGCCAUCAUUUAAAGAAAGCGUAAUAGCUCACUGGUCGAGUCGGCCUGCGCGGAAGAUGUAACGGGGCUAAACCAUGCACCGAAGCUGCGGCAGCGAACGUAUCACUUAAAGCGAUUCAGCGGGUUACGAUUGACGGAGCGAAGCGACGUCAAAGCGUAUACAAAGUCGAGUCGGUUUAAGGAUACGUUCGUUGGGUAGGGGAGCGUUCUGUAAGCCUGCGAAGGUGGCCUGUGAGGGUUGCUGGAGGUAUCAGAAGUGCGAAUGCUGACAUAAGUAACGAUAAAGCGGGUGAAAAGCCCGCUCGCCGGAAGACCAAGGGUUCCUGUCCAACGUUAAUCGGGGCAGGGUGAGUCGACCCCUAAGGCGAGGCCGAAAGGCGUAGUCGAUGGGAAACGGGUUAAUAUUCCCGUACUUGGUGUUACUGCGAAGGGGGACGGAGAAGGCUAUGUUGGCCGGGCGACGGUUGUCCCGGUUUAAGCGUGUAGGUGUGUGUUCCAGGUAAAUCCGGUUCACUUUAACACUGAGGCGUGAUGACGAGGCACUACGGUGCUGAAGCAACAAAUGCCCUGCUUCCAGGAAAAGCCUCUAAGCAUCAGGUAACAUCAAAUCGUACCCCAAACCGACACAGGUGGUCAGGUAGAGAAUACCAAGGCGCUUGAGAGAACUCGGGUGAAGGAACUAGGCAAAAUGGUGCCGUAACUUCGGGAGAAGGCACGCUGACACGUAGGUGAAGUGAUUUACUCAUGGAGCUGAAGUCAGUCGAAGAUACCAGCUGGCUGCAACUGUUUAUUAAAAACACAGCACUGUGCAAACACGAAAGUGGACGUAUACGGUGUGACGCCUGCCCGGUGCCGGAAGGUUAAUUGAUGGGGUCAGCGCAAGCGAAGCUCCUGAUCGAAGCCCCGGUAAACGGCGGCCGUAACUAUAACGGUCCUAAGGUAGCGAAAUUCCUUGUCGGGUAAGUUCCGACCUGCACGAAUGGCGUAAUGAUGGCCAGGCUGUCUCCACCCGAGACUCAGUGAAAUUGAACUCGCUGUGAAGAUGCAGUGUACCCGCGGCAAGACGGAAAGACCCCGUGAACCUUUACUAUAGCUUGACACUGAACAUUGAGCCUUGAUGUGUAGGAUAGGUGGGAGGCUUUGAAGUGUGGACGCCAGUCUGCAUGGAGCCGACCUUGAAAUACCACCCUUUAAUGUUUGAUGUUCUAACGUGGACCCGUUACCCGGGUUGCGGACAGUGUCUGGUGGGUAGUUUGACUGGGGCGGUCUCCUCCUAAAGAGUAACGGAGGAGCACGAAGGUUGGCUAAUCCUGGUCGGACAUCAGGAGGUUAGUGCAAUGGCAUAAGCCAGCUUGACUGCGAGCGUGACGGCGCGAGCAGGUGCGAAAGCAGGUCAUAGUGAUCCGGUGGUUCUGAAUGGAAGGGCCAUCGCUCAACGGAUAAAAGGUACUCCGGGGAUAACAGGCUGAUACCGCCCAAGAGUUCAUAUCGACGGCGGUGUUUGGCACCUCGAUGUCGGCUCAUCACAUCCUGGGGCUGAAGUAGGUCCCAAGGGUAUGGCUGUUCGCCAUUUAAAGUGGUACGCGAGCUGGGUUUAGAACGUCGUGAGACAGUUCGGUCCCUAUCUGCCGUGGGCGCUGGAGAACUGAGGGGGGCUGCUCCUAGUACGAGAGGACCGGAGUGGACGCAUCACUGGUGUUCGGGUUGUCAUGCCAAUGGCACUGCCCGGUAGCUAAAUGCGGAAGAGAUAAGUGCUGAAAGCAUCUAAGCACGAAACUUGCCCCGAGAUGAGUUCUCCCUGAGACUUUAAGUCUCCUGAAGGAACGUUGAAGACGACGACGUUGAUAGGCCGGGUGUGUAAGCGCAGCGAUGCGUUGAGCUAACCGGUACUAAUGAACCGUGAGGCUUAACCUUACAACGCCGAAG
rnacentral:rRNA from 1 species